UACGUAGGCAGCAAGCGUUGUUCGGAGUUACUGGGCGUAAAGGGUGUGUAGGCGGUUGGGUGAGUGUGGUGUGAAAUCUCCCGGCCUAACUGGGAGGGUGCGCUACAAACUGUCUGACUAGAGUAUGGGAUGGGAGAGUGGAAUUCCUGGUGUAGCGGUGAAAUGCGUAGAUAUCAGGAGGAACACCAAUGGCGAAGGCAGCUCGCUGGGACGGUACUGACGCUGAGACGCGAAAGCGUGGGGAGCAAACAGG
rnacentral:rRNA from 1 species